UUUUUUAUAUUAAACGCGCGGUUAAUAACUAUUUCCGCAUAAUAUUUGGUCAACGCCUUUUUUAUUUUGGAUAUCGUUAUCGCGCGUUGCGCGAUAAUUGUUAAUGGUGCUAAUUUUUCGUUAAUUUUGGGGUACGCACCGAAUAUUAGCAAAAUUGGAAUUAAUCCGUUUGGUCCGGUUAUAUUGUUCAAGGUUUUUAUUAUUAUUUGCAAAAUAGUUUUUUUAUCCGCAUUAUUUUUUAAUUUUUGGAAUAAAAUGUUAAACGUACGUCGCAACGGGGCGUGCGCGCGUUUUAUUUUUCCUAAUACCCAAUAUAUUUCCACAGGUAUUUUUUUGCAUAUAAUUCCUAUUAUUUUGGCGUUGUUGUGGAAUUUUUCCGAUAUAAAAUUUUUCCCUGGAUUGUGCGAAAUAAUAUUUGGUGGACUGAAAUAAAUAUAAAUCCAAAUUUUAUAUAAUACGUUCCAAAUCGUAUGGGCUAAUAUAUUUUUAAAAAAUAUUGCUAUUUGGAAUUCCGUCGCAUUAUCGAUAAUAUAUAAUAUUAAUUUACCAUCCAAUUAUAAUAUGUCCAAAAUAAUUUUAUAAUUGAAUUCGCAUUCGUUUUUAAUGGAAAAUUUAAAUUUUUGAGGAAUUGGGUCGUGCGUUUGGUAUUGGUGGCAAAUUUUGGUUAUUUUUUCCAAUAUAUUUUGUCGUACGUUUCGGUGGCCUAUUUCCUGUAAAAAUUUGUAAAAUUUUUCCGUGCGAAAAUGUCCGAAUUUUUUAUAUAAUUUUCGAAAUUUUUAUUCGGUAAAAAAUAUUGCCGCUUCCGUGCGAUUAAUAUUAAAAAAUGGGUGUCCCCAUUUUUUCACUAUUGGUAUUUUGGUGCCGUUUUUGCGUAUAAUAACGUUUUUAACGUUGUUAAAAUACGUUUCCAAUUUAUUUGUAUCGUGCAAAUAAAAAAAAAAUAAUAUUUGUACGUUUAAAAUAUAAUAGGUAAUAGUUUCCAAUGCGUUUUUUAUAAUUAUGGUACCAAUAACUUAUUUAAUUUUGCCUCCUCCGAAUCGCAUUUCCGUCGAUCCCGGUAUCCAAUUUAUGCGCGCGCGCGGGUUUUUCCUUAAAUAUAUUAAUAUUUGGCAUUUUCCUAUUAUUAAUACGCGCGCGGCCCCUAUAUUUUACAAUUUUUUUUAAUAUAUUAUAUUAUAUUGGUUAUAUAAUACAAAUUAAUUUAUUUGUUAUUUGGGUUUUAUAAAAUAUAUAUUUUUUCCUGUCGCGCGAUGGAAAAAUAUUUGGUUUUGGAAAAAUUGUGCGGUUUAAUAUUGGUUAUUUUUAUUUUUUUCCUCGUUAUUAACUUCGUUAAUAUCGUUAUACGGUUGAGGUUUGUUCGUUUUCCAAUUGGUAAAAAAUAGGUCGAAAUUUUCGCGUUUUUUUCCCAAAAUAUCGCACGUUUGGUGGUAUUUUUGGCGUGCGUUUUCCCUUUUUUCCUUAAUAUAUUUCCAGGAUUUGCAAUUUUGUUUUUUUGCAUACGAAAUAAUAAUUUGCAUUUUUUUCCUGGAAUAUAAUUGGAUUUAUAUGCGUACGUAUGCUAUUUUUUGGGCCUGGUAACCUUAUGUUAUUUUUGGGGGUAAAAUUGGAUUUCCAUUUUGGUAUUUGCGCGCGCCCUGGUUUUGGUUUUUAUUGGUUGCGAUGGUAUUUCCUAUUAGUAAAAUGGGUAUCGUGCGCUUUUUUUUGCAAUAAAUAUUGCUUUUUUGUUUUAUUUUAUAUUAUUUGUAAUAACGCGCGCAAAUUAAAGAAAAAUGUUUCGUAUAUUUUUUUUUGGACCAUUAAUACAUUUUCGAAUUCGGGCAUUCCGCGGCAGGUUCGUACAAUUAUUAUAUACAAUUAACGUUCCUUUUGGUAUUCGUUUCCAAAUACGCGUUGCACGAAUUCUAAUUUAUUUAAUAAUAUUUCCAAUAUUUUUU
rnacentral:sRNA from 1 species